UUCCUUGAAAAUAAAAAUAAUCAAGCAUUGCAUUUCAUGCAUCAUUUGCAUAAGAAGGUUUUCGCCAGAUGUCUGAUUGGUGUUUCUUCUGUGCUUUAGCCAAGAUGACUCACCGGUACAAUACCCGAGCCAAUCAUCAGAAAAUCAUGGAACAUUUGGAACAAAAGAACAGAGAGUUGAAGGACGAGAUCGCCCGCCUGAUUACCAUGACGGAGUCAGUUCUUGCUGCUCAAAACCAAG
rnacentral:lncRNA from 1 species